GCUGCACCUAGUUAUAAUAAGUGAAACUAUUUAACUGCAUGGGUCUUAUCAAAUUAAAACUCCUUUUGUCCUUUAAAAACUGUACAUAAUAUGUGUUGGUGCAAUAAAUGAAAGAGUUGGUAAUUGCGAACAAAUGAAGUGGGGUCAAUUAUGGGUUAAACUGUUACUGGAUCUCUACCUAAAAUAUGUAAUAUCACAUAAGGCAUCUGUGAGUAAUAGAGGGGUAAUACAAACACUAUAAUCACUAAUACUCAGUGUAUUAUUACAGCUCAUUGUACUAUUACAGCUUAUCGUAUUAUUACAGCUCAAAGUUUUAUUACAGUUCAUUGUAUUAUUACAGGUCAGUGUAUUAUUACAACUUAUUGUAUUAUAACAGCUCAUUGUAUAACAGAAUAUUGUAUUUUUACACAUUAUUGUACUAUUACAGCUCAUUGUAUUAUUACGGCUUAUUGUAUUAAAAACAGCUCAUAGUAUUAUUGCAGUUUAUUGUAUGUAGAUGCAUAAAUGAGAAAAGGAAAGUAAAAUAAGGAUUAGUAAGAUUAAAAACAACAGAAGGAAGGUAUGUAGAAGAGGAUAAAGGUCUAGCUGACUGCCUCAGUGAAUAAUAUUGUUCAGUAUUUACAGAUGAAAAUGAAGGAAAGGGGGCUCAGUAAGGAAAAAAGACAAAUUAGUCAUUUGUUACAUGUGAGUUUACAGAGGAAGAGGUUCUAUUUCAACUGUCAAAAGUAAAGACAAAUAAGUCAAUGGGACGUGAUGGAAUACACCCAAAGUUAUUAAAAGAGCUUAGUGGUGUACUAGCAAAACCAUUAACAGAUUUAUUUAACCAAUCAUUGUUAACAGUAGUAGUCCCAGAAGAUUGGAAGUUAGCGAAGGUUCUGCCCAUUCACAAGAAAGGUAAUAGGGAGGAGUCGGGCAACUAUAGGCCAGUAAGCCUUACUUCAGUAGUGGGGAAAGUGAUGGAAACCAUGUUAAAGGAUAGGAUUGUUGAACAUCUAAAAAUACAUGGAUUUCAAGAUCAAAGACAACAUGGGUUUACUUCAGGGAGAUCAUGCCAAACUAAUCUUAUUGAUUUUUUUGAUUGGAUAACUAAAAUUAUAGAUCAGGGUGGUGCAGUAGACAUUGCUUACCUAGAUUUCAGUAAGGCUUUUGACAC